GACGAACGCUGGCGGCGUGCUUAACACAUGCAAGUCGAGGGGGUUCGUGGGGCAACUCACGGAUCACCGGCGAACGGGUGCGUAACACGUGAGCGACCUGCCGUACCUGUGGGGGAUAGCCGGCCCAACGGCCGGGUAAUACCGCAUACGCUUGUCUUGGGGCAUCCUGGGACAAAGAAAGCUCUGGGGGCAACCCUGGGGCGCAGGACGAGGGGCUCGCGGCCUAUCAGCUAGUUGGCGGGGAACGGCCCACCAAGGCGGUGACGGGUAGCUGGUCUGAGAGGAUGGCCAGCCACAUUGGGACUGAGAGACGGCCCAGACUCCUACGGGAGGCAGCAGUGGGGAAUCUUGCGCAAUGGCCUAACGGCUGACGCAGCGACGCCGCGUGUGGGAGGACGCC
rnacentral:rRNA from 1 species